AUCAACUUUCGAUUGGUAGGAUAGAGGCCUACCAUGGUGGUAACGGGUAACGGGGUGUUAGGGCACGACACCGGAGAGGGAGCCUGAGAAACGGCUACCACAUCCAAGGAUGGCAGCAGGCGCGCAAAUUACCCAAUCCCGACACGGGGAGGUAGUGACAAUAAAUAACAAUACGGGGUUCUUUCGGAUCUCGUAAUUGGAAUGAGUACAAUUUAAAUCUCUUAACGAGGAACAAUUGGAGGGCAAGUCUGGUGCCAGCAGCCGCGGUAAUUCCAGCUCCAAUAGCGUAUAUUAAAGUUGUUGCAGUUAAAAAGCUCGUAGUUGAAUUUCGGGGUCAGUAGGUUGGUCGUGCCACUGGUACGUACUGGUCUCACUGAUUCCUCCUUCCUGAUGAACCGUAAUGCCAUUAAUUUGGUGUUGCGGGGAAACUGGACUGUUACUUUGAAAAAAUUAGAGUGUUUAAAGCAGGCUAACGCUUGAAUACAUUAGCAUGGAAUAAUGAAAUAGGACGUUCGAUCCUAUUUUGUUGGUUUCUAGGAUUGACGUAAUGAUUAAUAGGGAUAGUUGGGGGCAUUAGUAUUCAAUUGUCAGAGGUGAAAUUCUUGGAUUUAUUGAAGACUAACUACUGCGAAAGCAUUUGCCAAGGAUGUUUUCAUUAAUCAAGAACGAAAGUUAGGGGAUCGAAGACGAUCAGAUACCGUCGUAGUCUUAACCAUAAACUAUGCCGACUAGGGAUCGGAUGAUGUUAAUUUUUUAAUGACUCAUUCGGCGCCUUACGGGAAACCAAAAGUGUUUGGGUUC
rnacentral:rRNA from 1 species